rnacentral:rRNA from 1 species
AUUGAACGCUGGCGGCAUGCCUUACACAUGCAAGUCGAACGGCAGCACGGGAGCAAUCCUGGUGGCGAGUGGCGAACGGGUGAGUAAUAUAUCGGAACGUGCCCAGUCGUGGGGGAUAACGUAGAGAAAUUUACGCUAAUACCGCAUACGAUCUAAGGAUGAAAGCGGGGGACUCGCAAGGGCCUCGCGCGAUUGGAGCGGCUGAUAUCAGAUUAGGNGUUGGUGAGGUAAAAGCUCACCAAGCCGACGAUCUGUAGCUGGUUUGAGAGAACGACCAGCCACACUGGGACUGAGACACGGCCCAGACUCCUACGGGAGGCAGCAGUGGGGAAUUUUGGACAAUGGGCGAAAGCCUGAUCCAGCAAUGCCGCGUGC